AGCGAACGCUGGCGGCAGGCCUAACACAUGCAAGUCGAACGGGACCUUCGGGAUUUCUGGCGCACACGUGUGUAUCGCGUGGGAACCCGCCUUCAUCUUUUGGAAAUCACUCAGUAAUUUGUGCUAAUAUCGGGUAAUCUCCCCUGACCAAAGAUUUAUCGUCGUGAGAGGGGCCCGCGUUUGAUUAUCUCGUGGGUGUGGUAUAGGCCUACCAAGGCGACGAUCUCUAGCUGGUCUGAGAGGAUGAUCAGCCACACUGGGACUGAGACACGGCCCAGACUCCUACGGGAGGCAGCAGUGGGGAAUAUUGGACAAUGGGCGAAAGCCUGAUCCAGCCAUGCCGCGUGAGUGAUGAAGGCCUUAGGGUUGUAAAGCUCUUUUAUCCGAGACGAUAAUGACGGUACCGGAAGAAUAAGCACCGGCUAACUUCGUG
rnacentral:rRNA from 1 species